rnacentral:misc_RNA from 1 species
UUUCCGUAGGUGAACCUGCGGAAGGAUCAUUAAGGAGCUCAUGCGCUCCCGGGUAGACCUCCCACCCUUUGUUUACAAUACCUUUGUUGCUUUGGCGGGCCCGUUUGGCCCCGCUCUGACCAACUGGCCCCGGCUGGUCAGCGCCCUCCAGAGAAACGAAAACUCUGAAUUAAAUGUCGUCUGAUUACUAUGAAAUAGUUAAAACUUUCAACAACGGAUCUCUUGGUUCUG